AUUGAACGCUGGCGGCAUGCCUUACACAUGCAAGUCGAACGGCAGCGGACCUUCGGGUGCCGGCGAGUGGCGAACGGGUGAGUAAUGUAUCGGAACGUACCUUUCAGUGGGGGAUAACGUAGCGAAAGUUACGCUAAUACCGCAUAUUCUGUGAGCAGGAAAGCAGGGGAUCGCAAGACCUUGCGCUGAUUGAGCGGCCGAUAUCAGAUUAGCUAGUUGGUGAGGUAAAGGCUCACCAAGGCGACGAUCUGUAGCGGGUCUGAGAGGAUGAUCCGCCACACUGGAACUGAGACACGGUCCAGACUCCUACGGGAGGCAGCAGUGGGGAAUUUUGGACAAUGGGCGCAAGCCUGAUCCAGCCAUGCCGCGUGAGUGAAGAAGGCCUCGGUUGUAAGCGUACUUUCGUCCGGUACGAAGUACGACGACAGGUUAA
rnacentral:rRNA from 1 species